UCUAGGCUUACCCGAGGGAAACAAAUUAAGCAGCUCCUGAAAAACCGAUUGGCGUUAUGUCACAUACAACUUGUCACAAGUAGCGUGCGUGAACCGCCUGUGUUCGUGCCAGACCCCCAUAAAGCGAGUUAAACCAGAUUCCCCAUCGAGUACCUGGCGCCUUGCAUCUCAACACCGCGACUCAAACCGCAUACGUGUUGAGUAUCAGCGUACUGUGUGUGCUGUUCUCUUGACUUUAAAUAAAGUCUGUCACCAAU